rnacentral:rRNA from 1 species
UACGUAGGGGGCAAGCGUUGUCCGGAAUCAUUGGGCGUAAAGCGCGCGUAGGCGGCCCUGUAAGUCCGUUGUGAAAGUCAAAGGCUCAACCUUUGAAAGCCGAUGGAUACUGCAGGGCUAGAGUCCGGAAGAGGCGGGUGGAAUUCCUGGUGUAGCGGUGGAAUGCGCAGAUAUCAGGAGGAACACCAAUAGCGAAGGCAGCUCGCUGGGACGGUACUGACGCUAAGGCGCGAAAGCGUGGGGAGCGAACAGG